rfam:Planktothricoides sp. SR001 contig_45, whole genome shotgun sequence.
UACAUACUUGCCUAGUGGUUUAAGGCGCUUGACAGUCAAUCAAGUAACUCAAUCGUGAGUUCGUAGGUUCAAAUCCUGCCUAUGAAA